rnacentral:rRNA from 1 species
GUAAACCCAAGGUUUCCAGGGGAAGGUUCGUCCGCCCUGGGUUAGUCGGGACCUAAGCUGAGGCCGAAAGGCGUAGGUGAUGGACAACAGGUUGAUAUUCCUGUACUACCGAUAACCGUUUGAGAGAUGGGAUGACACAGUAGGAUAAGCUAAGCACACUGUUGGUUAUGUGUGCCCAAGCAUUGAGGCAGUCAAAGUAGG